CAGUGUUCGGAGAGCAUCCACGAAAAUGCGUUUAUCUCCUAGUACCGAAAAUGCGUUUGUCUCGGCCUGCGCUGCCGCGAACUUUACUUGGGGAGUGACGGUUACCGCUCUCCGGAAAAGCUUAUGCCACUGCAGAAGCGCUAAGCGAUCGAGUGUCGAAGGAGAUAUGAUUGUGGUCUCGCAUCUACACCUCAUUGUUGAUAAUGUCGCAUUCAUGGAUACUACGCAUCGAAUCCACUGGUUUUUGGACUUGGACUUAGUUCGGCCAGUUUGACACAUGGUGAGUCGAUUGAAGUGCACGCAAGGUGAUAAAUAUUGCAAGGCGCUUGCAUGUGCUGGCAUCAUUUCGUGUGUCACUUCCUAAUAGAAGCGCACACGCAGUUGAUCUGCAUGUCUGCAUCUGAAACGUCGAAGAGAGAAUCAGCCCUGAAAUAGGUAUGCUUAUCAAGCUCCUGUUACCACCGCCCUUGGGUAGCAUUUGGCUAUGGAGGGUGAGCAAAUCCUCUCUCUACCUUGAAUGCACACAUGUAUAUUCACGUGCACACCGUAUGCAGGUGCUGCAUAUUCACGAUACGUUAAACAUAAGUGUUUUAUGUAUAAUAUUUCAUAUUACGGUG
rnacentral:lncRNA from 1 species